CCCUUCCUUUCCGCCUUAUCCGCAGGCGGGCACGCGCAAGGAAGCGCGCCUGCCGGGGUGUGACGAAGCGGAGGCGGGACUUGGCGCGCGUUGCCUCAGUGCGACUGCGCACAACCUAAUCCGCGGGGGAAGGGAAUUGCGCUUGCGCGCCUGUCUCCCGGGACCCUAAAGUAGGCGAGCCUCUGGCUGCUCCGGUAGGUUUGGCGUGCGCGGGUUUCUGCAGAUCUGGGGCGAGCUUGCACGUUACAUCACCUAUGCACCUCUCCUUGCUUGCUUAAGUUGCCACCACUUAGGCCUUUCUUGCAGAAAUCGCCAUAUACUCUUUAAGGGCCGCGGAAUCGGGGCGACCUUGGUGACUGAUUGGCAAACUCUCGGCAGAUGUGCGUGCACUGGUUGGAUGCAGGCGUGGUUGUAGGAGAUUUAAUUUUUCCAGCUUUGCAACGACUGUUGGCCCUGUUAGCUUCCCAGAACGGAUCUCCCUAGUCUCGACUGGAAGCUGAGGGACAAAAUCUCAGAAAAGCAAUUACUCUUUCCUCACCAGGCUUCUAAAAAAGCAAGAAUAGCGAUAUGAUUACACCUAUAGUCCUAUAGAAAUUGAUCUGCCUUUCCCUCACAAUCGUGGCCUGUUAACGCUCCUGUGUAGUUCAGUGCCAGAAUGAGUGACCGCUAUUUAGAACAAAGGAUUAGUAUCAAAUUUUGCGUGAAACUGAAUAAGUCUGCAAGUGAGACCCACCAUCUUUUAAAAGAAGCUUAUGGGGAUGAAGUCAUGUCAAGGGCCAGAGUUUUUGACUGGCACAAAAGGUUUAAAGAAGGACGGGAAGAUGUUCGAGAUGACGCCCGAAGUGGGCGUCCAGUCACCCACAGGACAGAUGAAAAUAUCCAGAAGGUCAAGGACUUGGUUUGUUCAAACAGGCAGUUAACUGUGAGGAUGAUGGCUGAAGAGUUAAAUUUAGACAAAGAAACUGUUAGGCUCAUUUUGAAAGAAAACUUGAACAUGAAGAAGAUUUCUGCAAAAGUUAUUUCGGGUGUUUUGAAGGGUGAGCCUACACCACGAAAACUUGACUUUCAGUCGGAUCUUUCAAAGGAAACUAGGAAAAAUAGCUUAUGUUUGAGGAAAAAGGUAACAGAUUCUGAAACAUGGAGUCAUCUCCAGGGUGAAGCUGGUGGGGAAAUGCCCCUGCCCGUAUCCCAUCCCAGAGUCCACUACCCUGCCAGCCAGCUUCUUCAGGCCUCAUCUUCAACAAGCCUUCCCCCCAGGGUAGCUGAGAAUUGGUUCACCCCAUGGUGAGAGGAACGUGAGUUAGCUGAACCAGAACUAGGAAGCUGCCUUACUGUUAGGCACCUUCUUUGGCUGCUCACCUAUUUUCAGUCUUUGCCACUCCUCCCUAUAUGUCAUGGCCCUCCCCAUUACUCUUUGCUGGACUGUUGGACCAUCUUCCUUGCUCUUCUCCACAACUUUGAAGAACUUCUGGCUGUUGCCUUCUGGAUCAUGCCAGUGAGAAGUGAGGAACAGGAUCUCCUGGAAUCUGUAUCUCUGUGCCCAGGGAGGCAUGCUGUUCUGGGAGGACCCCAAAAGAAGGCUUAUAGCUUCAUCCUGCUUCGCAGUCAGGGCCUGAGGUAUGGUACAGAAGGCAGUGGGAUGCUGGUACUACUGAGCAGUGCUGGCCCAAGGGGCUGAUCUGGCCCAGAUGACUCAGUGGGAGCGCCUUAGGAAUCAGGGGUUGGCCACCAAUACUGAUCUUCUCACAGGCCUACACCUCACAGAAGAGCUGGGUUUGCUUCAUUCUAGUCCUGUGCUUUGGACCCCCAUUCAUUUGGAUAUCUCCUCUGCUGGAAGAGGAGGAUCUGGUCCUAGAAAAUAUAAACCUGGGGACCCAGGCCUAAGCUGUGAUGUGUGGGGAGGAAGACCAGGUGAUUCUAUAGACCCUGGAUUAAGGGAGCCUGCUGCCUGUGUGUGGAUUCCCAUACAGCAGCCUGUUUUUAGUAACUAUUGCCUAUAGUUUUGAGAACUUGUUGUUUUUAGAACACUGCUGGACAUUGACAAUGUGGAAGUUAUAAACAAGAUCUCCAAGGGCUGAUGGGCUUCUCAUGGAUGAGAUGGUUCUCGAACUGGAUCCAUGAGGAUGGGUAUGACAGGGGACUGUGAAAUUAGAGAAAGCAGGUGGAACAGCAUGAGGCAUCGAACCUCCAUCAGUAGAAAAUG